AUAAAUGCGAUGACAAGGAGGAGUACAUACUCGCCAAAGUCCCAGAGAGAAGAUGGAUGGUGUGAAUCUUCACGGAGGAAGUAUGGAAGUAGCCUUUGAGCAGUGAGACGAACAGGCGGCAGGCCCAAGUAGCACUCAACGUAUCUUUCCUACGUUACAGGGAAAACGGUAUCGAUAGCAAUGUCCGUACUGAUAAGUGUGAAACUGUCAGGAGGUAUACUAUCCGUACUGGCAGAGUGCGGGAAGCAGCAGUCUUCCUGAAUUUAGGUGGUAACACGGAUGAGAUAUUCGCCCUAAGC
rnacentral:ncRNA from 1 species